GGCUUUUAAUUUUUACACUCCUUUUUUACAUUGUACACUCCAAAAUUUGUCUCUAUUUGAUAAAAUUACAAAAAUAUCAUUCUCUUUUAUAUUGACUUUUGAGAGUACUUUUAUAAUUUUACCUAAUAAAGACAAAAUUUAGAGUGUAGAAUAUAAAAAAAAAGAGUGUAAAAAUCAAAACUCUUUUUUUAAUAUAAUUUAUUAUAAAUACAAUUUUAAUUCAAUAAAAAUUAAUAAUUGUUUUAAAUUUUAUAAAUUUUAUAAUUUUAACUCUAAACGUAAAUUCUGAUUCUUUUGACCCCACUGAAUAUUCAUUCUGAUUCUUUCUUUGCACAUUCAUCUGCCUAAUCCGUGGUGGUCGCGGUUUUUAAUGAUCGUCUGGAUCGGAGUCGUGGUUGUGUUUUGCCAGUGUUAACGCUCAAUGCUCUCAUAUUCAUAUAGGUUCUUAGAGAGAGAGAGAGAGAGAGAGAGAGAAAAGAUCUGCAACGCUUAAAUUUUUCUUGAUUUUCUAACUUCCUUUUUCAAGCCAUGUCAGCCGUGACGUAAUCUAUCCUCUGCAUAAGUAGUGUGUGUUUGUAUAUCACCACUCUUUAUAAGAACAAUUGUUCAUUGUAGAUGACUUGGUGUAUUUUGAACCUUAGGCCCUAAGUUAGAAUAAUUUUAUUUGAGUUAGGAUUAAAUUUAUCUUUAGUAAGAUUUUUUUAUAUUUUGGUCAAAUAUUUUUUAUUUUUACUUCUUCGGUUCAUUUUUUCAUAGACGAUUCAGAAAAUAAAGAAUUAAAAAAAAUGCACUAAAAUCCAUGUUAAUCUACAUGGGAUUUCUGAAAAUUGUAACAGUAAAAAAAAAUUCAUCAAAAGUCCCAAAAAAUAUCUACUCUAACUCAAGUGCAAAAUAUCCCAUAUGAACACUGAAUUUGGUCUAUAAAAAUCAAAUUUCUAAAAUAUUUUUGUUUAUGUUUAAUUCUGUAGCAAUGUUGCAAUACUACGGUCCCAAAAUUAAGACUAAAAAAGUUUUUAUAAUUCAAAAUAAAUUUUUCAGAUUCAAUUAAUUAUGUGAUAUUCAUUAGCUCAAGUGCAUCUGAAUCAUUAACUUUGAAUUCUAAUAACGUUUUUUAUUUUAAAUUCUGGAAACGUAAAAUUUCUCUUAAUUCUGAUUAAGAGAAAAUUUUAGGAUUUAUUUUUUUUUAAGUAUUAAUAGAAAUAAAAUGAGGAAUGUGAGCAAGUGGUGGACAAACAUUUCGGGUGAUUCUAUUUCAACCCAAGAAAUUUCUCGAGUCCCAUUUUGUAAUUUAAAAUUUUUUUACUAAUUUUGUCGGAGGUUUUUAAUAAUUACAACUAUUCUCUCAUAAUUUUUGAAAUAACAUCUUUACUUUUGAAACUAUUAUCAUAAUAGUAAACUGGAACUAAAUUUUAAUAAAAAUAACAAUUUUGUCCUUAAAAUUAAAUAUUUUAAUUUUUUUGUUAAUACACUAAUUAAAAUGAAUAAUCAUUCUCUUUCUUUUUUCUCAAAACACCAUAUAUUUGUAAACUACUUUAUUUUAUUUUUUUAUCAAUAAGUAAUUUUUUUAAAAAAAUUAAUCUAAACUAUUUAUUUUUUAAAUACCCCUAAUCAAAUCGGACUUAAAUAAAUCUUUAUUAUCCAAAUUCAUUACAAAAAAAUAUUAAAAAAAUAUAAAAUAAUAAAAAAAAAAAAUUGUGUUAUUUUUUUUAAAAAUAGCUCAAGAUAAAAUUUUGAUAAUAGUUUCAAAAUAAAAAAUAUUUGUGGUAUUUCAAAAAAUAUAAGAGAAAAAAUGAAUUUGUCAAAAAAACUUUAAGAGAUGUUAAUAAAAUUUACCAAAACAUUUCUGCUUUGGACACAAGAUUCUGCUUUGUCCCCAUGGAUCCACACUGUGUAGCUGCCGAAUAUUCAAGUCGUUGAGUUGUUUUGUUCUGUAGCUAAAAUAUCUGGUGUUAAGUGGUCUGAACAACCACAGAGUGCCACGUUUUGUAUGACAAAUUGGGACUUGUUAUUGUUUUGGCCUUUCGUAAAUUAAAGGGUAAUUUCCAUCACUGGUCCCUGUAUUUUAUGUAAGUUUCACUUUGGUAUCUGUAGUUUCAAUUUACGCAAAUAGUAUCCUUUAGUUUUCAAGAAAUCAAGGGGCAGAUGAGAAAAUAUGGCGUUGGUUGGCUCAUGAAGUCAAAGAAAGUUAGUAGUAGGGGCUUAGUCUCUCCCUCCCUAUUCUUAGACUUUAUUUUCCUUUUUUAUUCUUAAAAAAAGUAUCCGCAUUUGGUCUCUCAACUGAGAUCUACGACAUUUCCUCCAACCUUCAGUAAUGUAAGGUAAUCCAAAAAUUAAACUACGGAAUCAGUAGCAUGUUUACCCAACCUCUGCCCUUUAAAUAAUGCAUUUGAGGGAAGAAGGCUAGCUUUCAUUAGGGAAUUUCUCAUCACAGAAAGAAACUGAAAUGGUAAGGUCUUGUCUAUAUGCCAGAACCUCUUAUUUCAGUUAAAUUAACGUUAUU
rnacentral:lncRNA from 1 species